UUGUGGAGAAGGACGCCGAAGGUGGGGCUGAUGACUGGGGUGAAGUCGUAACAAGGUAGCCGUACCGGAAGGUGCGGCUGGAUCACCUCCUAACAGGGAGACAAAUAAUUGAUUGUGAUGUCUAAGUUAUUUAUUCUUAGGCCGCAAUCCUGUCACCUUAAGGUCGAUCGGUACCUCAGAUUUUUGAAUUAAUUUUAUAAUUAAUCCUCUAAUUUCAGUUCCUAAACUUGUCUAGGUCACACCCAAAAAGGGUUUCUCCUGGGCCAUUAGCUCAGGUGGUUAGAGCGCACCCCUGAUAAGGGUGAGGUCCCUGGUUCAAGUCCAGGAUGGCCCAUUCGUUGUUGGGGGUAUAGCUCAGUUGGUAGAGCGCCUGCUUUGCAAGCAGGAUGUCAGCGGUUCGAGUCCGCUUACCUCCACUGAAAAUCACCCUGACAACUAAAUUCCCGAGAAACUUUUAGAUGUGACUUAGAAAUGUCUAUUUGAAAAGAACUUAGCUUCUUAUCAUCUUCUUAUAGUUGAUAAUAUGCUGAGCUCGCAUGGAUUCAUUCCAUGAGAAUUCGGUAGAACCUUGAAAACUGCAUAGAUUAGAAAGAAUAAAGCAUCUCAUGGAUGCAUAAUUCUGUAUUGAUUUUUUAGCCCAAAAGCUAAAUUAUUAAAUAUAAGAAUUCAUGUUUAAUUCUUGAGUAAUAGCCGAGCACAAUAAAUGUUGUGAUUGUAUUAAGGUCAAGCUACAA
rnacentral:misc_RNA from 1 species